GACGUAGGGCGCGAGCGUUAGGCGGAAUCACUGGGCUUAAAGCGUGCGUAGGCGGUUUGUUAAGUCCGUUGUGAAAGCCCUGGGCUCAACCUGGGAAUUGCAGUGGAUACUGGCGAGCUAGAGUGCGGUAGAGGAUGGUGGAAUUCCCGGUGUAGCGGUGAAAAAUGCGUAGAGAUCGGGAGGAACACCCCCGUGGCGAAGGCGGCCAUCUGGACCAGCACUGACGCUGAGGCACGAAAGCGUGGGGGGAGCAAACAGA
rnacentral:rRNA from 1 species